ACCAGACGAUGCGGUUACCGCGGCUGCUGGCACGGAGUUAGCCGGUGCUUCUUCUGUGAGUGAUGUCCUUCCUGCCGGCUAUUAACCCGCAGGCCUUCUUCCUCACUGAAAGUGCUUUACAACCCGAAGGCCUUCUUCACACACGCGGCAUGGCUGGAUCAGGGUUGCCCCCAUUGUCCAAUAUUCCCCACUGCUGCCUCCCGUAGGAGUCUGGGCCGUGUCUCAGUCCCAGUGUGGCUGAUCAUCCUCUCAGACCAGCUACGGAUCGUCGCCUUGGUGAGCCGUUACCUCACCAACCAGAUAAUCCGACAUAGGCUCAUCCGAUAGCGCGAGGCCCGAAGGUCCCCCGCUUUCCCCCGUAGGGCGUAUGCGGUAUUAGCCUGGGUUUCCCCAGGUUAUCCCCACUACCGGGCAGAUUCCUAUGCAUUACUCACCCGUCCGCCGCUCGCCACCAGGGAGCAAGCUCCCCGUGCUGCCGCUCGACUUGCAUGUGUUAGGCCUGCCGCCAGCGUUCAAU
rnacentral:rRNA from 1 species